rnacentral:lncRNA from 1 species
CAGAGUUCGCGAAAAUGGUCGGUCCUGUCGGUCCUAUCGGUCAAAAUGAGGCUCGGACCAGUAUAUUGAAAGCUAGUGUCGGUCCCGAUGACCGAUGUAAAAACGGCCGUUGCAGUGCCUUUUUUAUCGGUAAUUAGUUGUACCGCAACUAAUUCCAAUAUGUGCCGUUUACAUCGGUCUUCAGAUGUACCUGCUGCUAAUAUCCG